rnacentral:lncRNA from 1 species
AAGGAAGACAAGUACAGAGGCGGCAGGUAUUAUAUUAGUAUCUCUGGACUUUAUUUUCUAUUGUGCUUUAUUUUUAUUUUUAUUUUUUUUGAAAAUGUGUGUUUUUCAGGGAUUGUGGAGUUUUUACUUUUUAAUGUUUUCAUAGAAUUUCAAGGAGAGGAUUCUACAGUCAUAAUGAGGAGAAGAGAGAGACACAAAGAGAGCAUGGGACACUUCAUCACAGAGUGCACCAAGGCUGAAGACACUUAAGACCUCACAUUCAUUGUACCUCAAAGGUCAUGGACAUGCAACGGUUAAGUAACUGCAUUCUGCUAUCCAAAAUAUUCCCAAGAAGUGCAUUUCCAAAACCCCUGUGAAGAUAUUCUUGAAACAGAAUUUCAUCAUCUCAUACAUAAAUAUUUGUGCUGUGAAGACUGUCACAUAAAUAAAACUUGG